UUAGAUACCCUAUUAUACUAAUAAAAGUCUGAAUUAUUAAUAGGUAUAUUCUUUAAAUUUGAAGAAUUUGGCGGUGAUUUAAUCUUAUUAGAGGAACCUGUUUUUGAAUCGAUACACCACGUUAUAUCUUACUCAUUUUAUUUAGUUUAUAUACCGUCAUUGUUAGAUGAUUUUUAAAGAGUGUAAUCAUUAAAAUUUAUGAAGAGAAAUGUUAAUAAAUUAAAUUAGAUCAAGGUGUAGCUUAUAAAUGAGUUAAAAUGGGUUACAAUAAAAUUUAUUUAUAUGGAUUAAUAUGGGAAGGAAAUAUUAUAAAGGAGGAUUUAAUUGUAAUACAAGUUAAAUGAACUUGAAAGAUAUUGGCUCUAAAUUAUGUACAUAUCGCCCGUC
rnacentral:rRNA from 1 species